GCCUGUGUGGUGGAAUUGGUAGACGCGUUGGACUCAAAAUCCAAUGGUAGCAAUACCGUGCCGGUUCAAGUCCGGCCACAGGCACCA
rnacentral:tRNA from 1 species